GGGGCUCCUUGGGGUCCAGUCUCCUGGAAACGCUGAAACGACAUUGAAAAUGGCUGUGUUGGAGAAGCAGCCUGCAGAGGUCUCUCCCGAGCCCGGUAACCCUGCUGAGCCCUCCAUCUGCUGAGUGCUGGCAAGCGUCUGUCCCUCAAGCUGAGCGCCAGGCCACGAGAAGAAACCAUUUCUCAACAUGCCCAGCUUUCAGGCCAGCAGCCACCUGCCCUUCUGGUCACACGUCCCUAUUGGAGAAACAAGUUUGCUGUCCCCAGGUACGAAUGUGCACCACCACCGACGCGCACGUAUGGCACUGAUGAAACACCCCCCAAGGGACUGAAGGAGCAGGAAACAUGUGAACCGGAGCAUCUGUGCUUCCUUCUCCCGGCGGCUGCCACGGGUCCCGGUUUGGAGGCACUGCUGAGGAAAUCCUUCAUCCCCCAACCCUUAAAGUCAUCUCUGCUGGUUGCCCAGACCCAAUCCUCUCCUGCCGAGAGAGUGCGCUCAGGCCGGCACGCGGGGGACCCCGACCAAAAGGAAUUUGAGCUGCCGACAGCAACACACGAGUAGCAGCACUGGUGGGAAGGGGGUCCUGUGACAGCCAGAGGCCAGCACCGCGGCCUCAGGGCCUGAGAUGCUCUCUUGGAACCGGGGAUGCCUGCGGGCUGGGUAGGGAAGGUGCCACACCCAGGGGUCCUGGCGGGGGCACGAGGGAGCAUUCAUGCCAAAUUGGAACUGCCCAGUAGACUGGCAUCAUGCCCUCUAACUCCCCUGCCCCGAGCUGCAGCCUCACCAUGAGGAUAAGGUUCCAAGACCCGAAAGACCCCAGAGAAUGAGCUCCUCCUUGGUACGGUGGGGACAAAGCACUGUGCCAGGCCAGUGACAGCCCCACAGUGGGUGCGUACGGAAGCGCUUGGGCAUACAGCCCUGAGCACACAGGCCCCUGGGAAGAAACCAUCACUGUUAUGCUGAGCCCUGCCACCUCCACACGGGUCCAGCAGCUGGGACCCUCCCUGGGCCAAACAAGCUCCGGCUGGUCUCAGGCCAGUGCAACCCACCAGCAGAAGGAGGGCAUUGAGCUCAGCUGCUGCGCCGAGGGGAGGGGUUGGGGUGAGAGACGGGCCAGGAAGGCAGAGAGUGUGGCAAGACACGCUGGAAGCAGUAAGAGUGGCUGCCACAGAAUACAAGCCAGGGGAAGCCCCCAGCUCGACAGGAGAGACCCUGGGAGACUGGACACAAGACGUCAGCCAGGCCAGAACUGCAGGGGGAGCGGGCCUGGGAACCCCUGAGCCCUGAGGCCCAUGUGGGCCCACCAGGUGGAUGCAUCUCGGGCCAAGCUGAUUGGGCCCUGCUUCCCUUUAGGCCUAGCCAGUCCCCAUAAUUGACAAGGGUGGGACACAGGGGUCGCUUUCUGCUGACCCCACUGGCUGACUGAGCCGGGUUGGUGGGAACUGCUACCACCAGUUAGUGAGGCCUGCCAUGAACCCAGGAGGAGUUCACGGGCGCGAGCACCAAGGCCAUGGACCUGUCAUCCAUGAUGUACCACAAAACCCGACCCUUGGACAUGCCCCCAGUGACAGCCGGUAGCCUGGAACUGGGCCAAAUCCUUCCCCACCAGGAGACGCGAGGAUGCUCGUAGCGUCCACCUCUGACCUCCCCCUCGGCCCAUCGACACCUCUUCCUGUGGCUUUCCUGGGCCCAGGAGCUGCAUAUGGGCAUCAGUCCCCUCACAUGAAUGAAUGAUGGCCACCUGAGGGCCAGGGAGUGGCAGGUGCCGGCCCUGCUGAGGACUCGGCUGGGGGCUCCCAGCCCUGAAUCCAGAGCUUCUCUGCUCCUUAUGGGGUUUGUCUCUGGACGUCUUUGUUCAUCCAUUCAUUUAAAAACAGCUCCUAAGAAUAAAGUCCCCUAGUUCCCAAAUGUCUAGACUUUGUGGUCAUCGAGCACUGGGUGGGGUAUCAGAGUCCUGUCACCCCUUCUUGCCUGCAGCCGUGCAGGUGAGCCAUCCCAGCGCCCACGACGGGAGGCUCCGGCCAGCCUGGUCAGCAGCGCUGACAGGCAGAGGGUGUUUCCUGCCAUGUCUGUGAAUGUCCCUUGGGCCCGUCUGUUUGGCCCCUUCUCAGGA